GGGCCCGCACAAGCAGUGGAGCAUGUGGUUUAAUUCGAUGCAACGCGAAGAACCUUACCAGGGUUUGACAUCCUGCGAAUCUCUUGGAAACCGAGAGAGUGCCUUCGGGAGCGCAGUGACAGGUGGUGCAUGGCUGUCGUCAGCUCGUGUCGUGAGAUGUUGGUUAAGUCCCGCAACGAGCGCAACCCACGUCUUUAGUUGCCAGCAUUUAGUUGGGCACUCUAGAGAGACUGCCGGUGAUAAACCGGAGGAAGGUGUGGAUGACGUCAAGUCAUCAUGCCCCUUACAUCCUGGGCUACACACGUACUACAAUGCUACGGACAAAGGGCAGCAAGUUCGCGAGGAC
rnacentral:rRNA from 1 species